GGCCGGGUUAAGGAGCGCCGCGUCACGUCCGGCAGACUUAGAGCCCGUGCGGAGGCGGUGCGGAGCGCUUCGAUACUCAGCGGCUCGGGAACUUGUGCGUUCUACGAGGCUGCGGCGGAGCCUCUAUAUAGAAGGCGCAAGAGGUUGGCAGCUUCGAUUGAAGCACGUCGAGCGGCGAUAGCAGCUAGGAGUCAUGAGCGACAGCGGCGAGCAGAAUUACGGCGAGCGGGUUAAUGUUGAAGAAGGAAAAUGCGGAAGUCGUCAUUUGACAAGUUUUAUAAAUGAGUAUUUGAAGCUCAGGAAUAAGUGAAGCUGAAAUUUGAAAAAAUAAAAGAAAGAAUGCAUGCUAAUUAUCAGACCAGAAGUCCCACUUGUAGAAUAUUGAGCAAUUUGUGUGAAGUGGGGAAGAUGAAAGAAGUCAGAAUUUGAAACGGAAGAAUGAAGAAAAGAAAUAAAAAUGAAGUUAAGAUAAGAAGUAAUCUGGAAUCAGAAAGCACUACGCUAAGUAAUUACUAGUCUGUUUAUGUGUCCCUGUAUAUUUUGCUAAACAUGCAUGCAUUAUUUGUUUAAUAGAAGAAAAUAUAUACAGGGCAAAGAAGUGCCUUCCAGGGGAAACGUUUAAAUUAGGUAAUUCUAAUUUUAACUUCUUAGUCAAAUGAUUGAAAUGCAAUUUUAAAAAAUAACCCUUUGUAGUCAAAUAUGAGGCAGGAAUGAGCUCUCCAGCAUGGGUAACAGUUGGCUUCAUGUUGUCUCUCUAGAUUUUUUUGUAUAAUGCUGCUGGUCCUGGGCCAUGAGUGAGUACCUCCAGAGUUGGGAUUGGUGGUCUGUGCCACCUCCAUGGACUCUUAAAAUUCAUUGACCCCUAUCUUUUAGUACUGAGCAAUAUAUAGUAGAAUGUUUUCUAAGUUUGUCGUAGUUUUCCCAAAGAAUGUCACCAGGAUGGUUAUAGAAGCAAACCAGUGAAGAGGAUAGUUCCUUUUGGCAUUUAUGAAAAUUCUUUCUAGAUGGCAUAGGGGAAACCUAUGACCAAUUAGGCCCUAACUUUAAGAUGCAGGUUCUAAAUUCACAAGGAUGAUUCUUUUCUUCUGUUUAAUGCCUGUUCCAGUUGAAUGACUAGGAUUACUGCUAAAAAUAUAUUAGCUUCCCUUACAAUGAGGUGGGUCACAUAAGUGAACAGGAUCUCUAACUCAAAGUGGCAAUAGUGGUAGUUCAGAAAACUGCUCUAUUCCCUUUUUCUCAUUUGCUGCUGUUAAAGUUUAACUGUUACAAUGACGUGAGAGGUAUAGAUUAUAAAGUAACUUAGUUUUGGUUCCUCACUCCCACCACUUACUUUGAAAAAUAAACCCUAAAGGUCUGUCCUUUCCCCUUCCAUGUGUUUUGUUUUAGUUGAAUAAAAGAAUACGAUGGUUAGCGAAAUGUUACUUUCUAUUGGAUAGGACAAGUGAACUGUCAAAAUAAUACCCAGUGGUAGCUAACCAGUAGUUGUUUUCUGUUGGGAAAGCCAAGGGUAUCACUUCUUCCUGAAAUGAAGACAACCUAAAAAAACAGAGUUGUCAGGUCUUCUAGCUCUUGGAAAAAGUGGUUUAAAUUACGUAUCUAAAAGGAUCUAUCUUCUAGGAUUUUAGGGCCAGUUGUCAAUAUGAAAUUUGUGCUUUUUAUAAUUAUUUCUGCCUUGCAAGGAGAAGAAAAUUAUUCUCAAUUCAUAGUAGUUUCCAGCAUUUGCUUUACUGGUUUGUAAAUUUUGCCACGUAUAAACUAAUAACGUUAAUUUUGCGCUCUGAAUUACAGAUUAGGCAGAGAGCUGAGGUAAAAAAGAGGUGAAUUGAUACUUUCUGUUCAAGUCCAUGAAUUCCUGAAAGGCCCUUGGGGUCUAAAAGAGGAAAAACCUAUUAAUCCUCUAAAUGGAAAGAAAGCACUUUGGAAUUUGAUUAUAUGGCCUAAGCUUGGAUAGAUGUAUGGCAAAAAUAAACGCUGAUGCCCAUAGACCAUUGCAUCCAUUCAGGGUUUUCUUCUCUUCCCACCCCACCCAUCCCCCCCCCUUGACCAAGGCAUCUUUGAGUCUGACAGUGCCUCCUCUCAGCCCUGCUCUGCCUAUUGGGGAAGUAAGAGGGAGACAGGCCUCUUGUCCUGGGGCAGGUGGAGCAGAGAAAACGAGAGAAACAAGGUUCCACGAAGAUAAUUUCACCAAGAGAAAUCAGUAGGAAUCCCGUUCUGCUUCCAGAAGUGGAAGUGCUCAUGGAUCUGGGAAAUCUGCAAGGCAUACCCCUGCAAGGUCUCGCU